CCUACGGGAGGCAGCAGUAGGGAAUUUUCGGCAAUGGGGGGAACCCUGACCGAGCAACGCCGCGUGAACGAAGAAGUUAUUCGUAAUGUAAAGUUCUUUUAACAGGGAAGAAAGAGAAAUUUGACGGUACCUGAAGAAUAAGCUCCGGCUAACUACGUGCCAGCAGCCGCGGUAAUACGUAGGGAGCGAGCGUUAUCCGGAAUUAUUGGGCGUAAAGGAUGCGUAGAUGGCAUAGUAAGUCUUUUGUAAAAAUGCUGGGCUCAACCCAGUAGGGCAAAAGAUACUGCAAAGCUAGAGUAUGACAGAGGCAAGUGGAACUACAUGUGUAGCGGUAAAAUGCGUAGAUAUAUGUAAGAACACCAGUGGCGAAGGCGGCUUGCUGGGUCGCUACUGACAUUGAGGCACGAAAGCGUGGGGAGCAAACAGGAUUAGAUACCCGGGUAGUC
rnacentral:rRNA from 1 species